rnacentral:piRNA from 1 species
UCUCAGGAGGCUUCCUCAUCUCUUUCCACGC